UACGGGGGGAGCAAGCGUUGUUCGGAUUUACUGGGCGUAAAGGGCGCGUAGGCGGCCACCGCAAGUCAGUUGUGAAAUCUCUGGGCUUAACCCAGAACGGUCAGCUGAUACUGCGGGGCUAGAGUGCAGAAGGGGCAACUGGAAUUCUCGGUGUAGCGGUGAAAUGCGUAGAUAUCGAGAGGAACACCUGCGGCGAAGGCGGCUUCUUGGCCUGUUCUUGACGCUGAGGCGCGAAAGCUAGGGGAGCAAACGGG
rnacentral:rRNA from 1 species